AUGAAGUGGAUGACUAGAAAUCUGGGUGUAACUUUCUAGAGCCUCAACAGGAACCAACGUAGGAGGUAUCUGCCGCCUCUUCCUUUGUUGUGAUAGAGCAGCAUUACAAUCUGUGAGCUCAGAGAUAACAGUGGCUGAUAUUCCUGGACGUAUUUUCUUCCCAUCAGGACCCAAUUCCUCAUCCUCAUUAACUCUUUUCCCAUUA
rnacentral:misc_RNA from 1 species